GCAAGUCGAGGGGCAGCAUAAAAGUAGCAAUACUUGGUGGCGACCGGCGGCACGGGUGAGUAACGCGUAUGCAACCUACCUAUCGAGAGGGGAAUAACCCGGCGAAAGUCGGACUAAUACCGCAUAAAACAGGGGCACCGCAUGGUGAUAUUUGUUAAAGAAAUUCGCUGGUAGAUGGGCAUGCGUUCCAUUAGGUAGUUGGUGAGGUAACGGCUCACCAAGCCGACGAUGGAUAGGGGAACUGAGAGGUUGGUCCCCCACACUGGUACUGAGACACGGACCAGAUUCCUACGGGAGGCAGCAGUGAGGAAUAUUGGUCAAUGGGCGGGAGCCUGAACCAGCCAAGUCGCCGUGAAGGAAGAAGGAUCUAUGGUUCGUAAACUUCUUUUGCAGGGGAAUAAAGUGCAGGACGUGUCCUGUUUUGUAUGUACCCUGAGAAUAAGGAUCGGCUAACUCCGUGCCAGCCGCGGC
rnacentral:rRNA from 1 species